GAUGAACGCUGGCGGCGUGCCUAAUACAUGCAAGUCGAGCGAACAGACGAGGAGCUUGCUCCUCUGACGUUAGCGGCGACGGGUGAGUAACACGUGGAUAACCUACCUAUAAGACUGGGAUAACUUCGGGAAACCGGAGCUAAUACCGGAUAAUAUAUUGAACCGCAUGGUUCAAUAGUGAAAGACGGUUUUGCUGUCACUUAUAGAUGGAUCCGCGCCGCAUUAGCUAGUUGGUAAGGUAACGGCUUACCAAGGCAACGAUGCGUAGCCGACCUGAGAGGGUGAUCGGCCACACUGGAACUGAGACACGGUCCAGACUCCUACGGGAGGCAGCAGUAGGGAAUCUUCCGCAAUGGGCGAAAGCCUGACGGAGCAGCGCCGCGUGAGUGAUGAAGGUCUUCGGAUCGUAAAACUCUGUUAUUAGGGAAGAACAAAUGUGUAAGUAACUAUGCACGUCUUGACGGUACCUAAUCAGAAAGCCACGGCUAACUACGUG
rnacentral:rRNA from 1 species